UACGAAGGGGGCUAGCGUUGCUCGGAAUGACUGGGCGUAAAGGGCGCGUAGGCGGUGCGGUAAGUCUGCAGUGAAAUCUCUGGGCUCAACUCAGAGUCUGCUGUAGAAACUGCCGUGCUUGAGUGUGGGAGAGGUGAGUGGAAUUCCCGGUGUAGCGGUGAAAUGCGUAGAUAUCGGGAGGAACAUCUGUGGCGAAAGCGGCUCACUGGACCACAACUGACGCUGAGGCGCGAAAGCUAGGGGAGCAAACAGG
rnacentral:rRNA from 1 species